CACAAGUAAAUGUGGGCACAUCUUUCACUGGGUGAAAGGAUCAACAGUAUCUCAAGUUCUACGUGAAGGAGCUAGUGCUGAAGAGUUUCAUGCUGAGAAAAUCUGAACAAGCUAUUUUUAUCAUCAUUCUGAGGUUAGUAGGACUUCAAAGGAGAACUCAUGUAGCCACAUGGACUCCACUAGUCACCGGCCAACUGGGCAACUGCGUCUUGACAUGCCUCAUGUCUCCAGGCAGCAUGAAUUGUGAAAGAAACACCCUGAAGCUAAAAUGUUUGCAGUAUGCACUCCCUCUGAUCGUGUACAUACAGCAUGAGCAUCUCAUGGCACAUAUGUUCUUUCAACUUCCAAUUAACUUUGGGUAUAGCAAAAAAUAAAUUAUCUUAUGGUCCUGACUGACAGUAUAACAUAAAAGCACAACAAAUGCUGCAAACUCCGCAAGAACUUGGCUGCGUUUUCAAGCGUGGGUAAUUAAGGACCUGCCCAACCUUAUCUGUG